rnacentral:lncRNA from 1 species
GCGGAGAGACCAGGUGGGCACUGAAUGGGCAACCCUGCACCGUCCUCUUGAAAACAGCAUCCUGAGAGGUACGGGCCCUCCAGCUCUCAAAUGCCAGAGCCUCCGUGUCUACAUAGAAUGUUCCAGGUCAAGAAACAAAGCCUUAGAGAGGCUCCCAGGCCUGCCACGGAGCUAGAAAGUGACAGAGCUAGGAUUUGAACUUGGCACUUGUCACCCAACAAGUGGUCUUUAGCUGCUGUCCGGUCUCCCUGAGAUGCAUGCCUCCUCCUCUUGGAACACAGCACCCAUCACCUUACCCCCAGCGGACAUAUCCUGGUUUGACCAUGUUACUGCAGGAAAGAAGAGCUGGCCUUCUGUGGCAGAUUGAAUCAUGUUCAUCCAAAGAUGUGCUAAAUAAAUCCUCACCCCUGGUCCCUGUGCAGGUGACCUCAUCUGGAAAUAGGGUCUCUGCAGAAGUAAUCAAGUUAAGUUACCUUCGUAAGAAGCCUUGAAGCCCAGGGAGCUGCCGCUGCCAUCGGUCUGGAAGAGGAGCCACAUUUGAUGGUUGGUGCUGACGAUGAGAUCCGGGACCGAGUUACCUGUCAGGCUGUCGGGAGAGAGAGAUUUAGAGGCGUGCACCCCAUCAUGGCACCCCAAGAGAAUGACUGUUAGGAGACACGAGGCUGAAAACACAGCAGCCACCCCAGGCCACAUUCUUUCUGAAGAAGAGCAUUUAAGCAUGGAGAGGAUUCUGAUUCAACUCACAUUUACCAGGUACCUACCCAGAUACGAAGCACUCACCACAUGCCACCCGAGGAGGUGGGCAUUUCAACAGGGAGCACGACAUGGGCCCUGCCCUCGGUGAACAGGGAGACGGAAAAGUAAACUGAUAACUGCAAUGCCAGGUAAAUGAAUGAACGGACCCUUCACUAGGAUAUAAUUACCGAGCACCUGCCCCAUGCCGAGCACCGAGCUAGCUGCUUCCCAUAAGUUAUCUCACUCGCCUGACAACUGAGAAGAGAAUCUAAAUGCCGAGGGCACCGCGCAGAUGAUGUGAGGACAGAGAUGAAGCAGCCUUCUUGUGAUCAUGAGGACAAGAGCCACAUGCAAGGAAUGGCGGAGGGGAAAAUAGGAGAUGCUGGAGGACACUGAGAGCACUGCCAGACCAGCCCGGGAGUCUUCCCUCUGCACCUUUGGGAUGGGAGGGAAAUAAUUUGUUUUGGUUCAGCUUCUGCUGAGCCGUUUUCUGCAACUGACGGCCAAUCGAGACCGAAUGACGAUGGGUUCUGAAGAAAGCCUUCAUCACCGCGGAAGAGUUUACCAACUCUUGACCCUCAGGAUAAAGCUCAGCUUCUCGGCAGGGAAAUGCUACGUUUACAUGGCCUGCCUCUGCCCCUUCCCAGCGGGUCAGCUCCCCAUUGCUGGGCUCUAGGCCUGUUUCUCUAUUCCCCCUCAGGGUACAUCUCUGGGCUCCUGAGGGCUGACCCUGGCCUCCCCUCUCGCCUCUGUUGCCUAAUGCUGCUGUCAGACCAUUAGCUCCCUGAAAGGAAGGGCCCUCCCUUUCCCCAAGCACAGCCUGCAUGGUGACUCCAGCCUGGAUCUUGCCGAGGGCCCAGGGCAGGGCUGAACCCCACGGGCUCUUGCGAUGGGGAGGAGGGGAGGCCCAUGGAGGGGCUGGUACGACCCCUCAGGAGUUCAAGCAGAGAGGCCUCCAAGUGCCUCUGAGGAAGGCUUUUGAGGAGGCUGGUUAAGACGGCUGAGGGGCAGAGGUGGAGAACUUUGUCAGAGAUUCCGGAACUUAGGUCACCACCUCAGAUUUAAUUUUGGUGGCUCUGAGAGUAGUAAGUCUUUUCAUCCAUUCAUUUGCUCAGGGAUUGGUGGAUUCAUUUAUUUAUUCCACAGUGAAUAUGCUCUUGACACGUUCUGGGCUUUGGAGAAGCAACAGAAGCAAGGACCAUCAUGGCCACUGCCCUGAGGCCUCACAGUCUAGAAGAAGAGAUACAGGAGUUCAGAGGAGACGCAGCCCAGUGUGUUAGUGCUGAAAUCAGGGGAGCACGGGAGGGGGCAAAUGAGAGGGACAUAAAGUCCCGGCUAGAGUGGGGACUGGGCCUUAUCUUUGCAAAUAGAGGAGGGCAUGCGGGCACGGGCCCAGCCAGCUCUAAGGAAGAGGCGCGCCAAGAUACGCUGUGACAUGAAGACAAUUGUGAAAGGAAAGGGAUCGGGGUGAGGACUUGGAGGGGCCAGCGAGGGUCCCUCUAGGGUGGUCCAGUCAUGAGGACUGGGCUGUGGGGGCACUGAGGGAAAACCUCUCUGAUCACCAGCCAGCAUCUUGCCUAGGGCCCAGUACAGACAGCUCGAGAGUCAAUGUUUGCUGAAUGAAUAAGUGAGUGAACACAUGGGCCACGUAUGGGUUCCUGACAUUUGCACGAGAGAGUGAUCGCUGCCUGGAGAGUCAUUUCUCAGUUCUUCGGGUCUACGAAGGGAAGAGUGACACUGAUACUCCCCAAGGAGUGAAUAAUCAAGCCGCUGUUAUCUUUGGCUUUGAAGUUCUUGAGAUGCACUUUCUUUCUCUCCCUUCCAGGCCCUUCCUUCUCCCUUGCCUCCUCCCCCUACUCCCUCCCGUCUGUCUCUCUCCUUCUCUCUGGCCUGCCUUUUAUUUCUUUUCUAGCAAAGGAGGAUUAACAGUCCAGAUCAAACCCAGCAAGGCUCACCUGCAAAUUGAAUCAUGUGUCUUGAGUUUCUAACCGAGAAGCUGGGAAAGGCUGAUGUGUGCAGGGAGGGGACAUGGAUGCAGGACUGGGUUUCAGGCCUGACCAUGGAAAUUUCAUCAGUCACAUCUUUGCCGAUGCUGAGCAGAAAGGCUCUAACAGGAGGAGGCUCUGGGGCCCCCUGCGGGCGGGGCCCCACCCAAGGAGCCUCGUGAUGCAGGCAGGUAUCCUCCAUCAGGUAGGAAGGCAGUCAAACAGCUGCUGGGCUCCUCCGCUGGGUACUGUGCUAAGGGCAGGAGAAAUAAACCAGAGGGUGUCCCUGCUUUCAGGAUGCUGAUGAGCUAUGGGGGCAAGAACUUCUCAAGACCAUGCAAGGUCAUCAACAGGAGCUGAGGAACAGAGGCGGGACCAAGACCUGGGGGAAUUAGGAAUUAGUGCUCUCAAAAGGGGAUGGGAAUUUGCUGGGAGGAGAAGGGAAGGGGCACAUGGAUAGGAUGCCCUGGAAGAAGGUCUUAAAGGGCCAGGGCCAUCAAUGUGCCAGAAGUUCAGGGUGGUUGAGGCCGGGGCUGCCUGAGGGGGCUGGGGCAGGUGGGCCCUGCGUGCUUUGCUGGGAGGGAAGAGGGUUGUUAUUUAUGACACAAGCUAGGCUGGUCUGAACCACUAGGGUGCUUUUUAAAAAUAUACCUUCCAGGAGUUCCUUUCGUGGCUCAGUGGUUAAUGAAUCCGACUAGGAACCAUGAGGUCGCGGGUUCGAUCCCUGGCCUCACUCAGUGGGUUAAGGAUCCGGCGUUGCCGUGAGCUGUGGUGUGGGUUGCAGACACGGCUCAGAUCCCGCGUUGCUGUGGCUCUGGCGUAGGUCGGUGGCUACAGCUCUGAUUAGACCCCUAGCCUGGGAACCUCCAUAUGCUGUGGGAGCGGCUCUAGAAAAAGCCAAAAAGCCUAUACACACACACACACACACACACAUACACACACACACACACAUAUCUUCUAAGUUCCCACCCCAGAGCCACUGAAUCUGAUCUUUGAGGAAAAAUCUUCAGAAUUUCUGUCUUUACAGUCCCUCCAGGUAUUUCUGAUGAUUAACCAAAUUUGAGGAAUGUUAUUGUCAGCAGAAUGACUAUAAAAACUAAGCUAGCCCAAGUGGCCAAGGCAGGGCUCGUGUAUCUCAAGGCUGCCCAAUCUAAGGGAGCAUGGGUGCUGUGUACUGAGUCGGCCAGUGCCACUGGCUCUGAGCCUUCUUUUCUCUUUUCUCUGGAUGGACUACGGUGGCUUUAAUUGUUUUAUUCUCACUGUUUUAUUCUUACUGAGGAGAGACACACCUGACACCUGCCUCCCCAAAAGAACUCAGUUCUAGUUCCCACAGUGAAGAGCUGCAUAGGCUCUGGGUGCUCGGUCAAGGCUGGUACCUUGACAUUGGGUCUCAGCCAUUCCCACGCCAGAUCAUCUUUUGGACCUUCCUAUUGCUCUUGGGGGCCCUCGUCCCUGGAACAUUCCCAGCUCCCUCUCAAGCUCAAGCAGGAAAGGUCCUGCAAGGGGGAUGAAAUUCCAGGGAGAGUCCUCGUGCCCACACAUGCACAGGUCCCUGGGAUGCAUAAUCAUCCAUGAUUAUAUGAAGACCCAGGGACAUAGGUCCUAGUCUCCACCCCUGCAGGCAAAACUCUCAGCGCCUUCUCCCGACAGCGCGGUCCUCCAUCUGUUCCAUGUGGAAGGAACCCCCGCAUUCUCAGCCCAUUUGGCCUCUCACUCUCUCAUCACCCUCUUCCCCAAGUCUUCGCUCUCUUCCUGUGUGCUUGCUUCACCCUCAGCCUGGGAACAUACUCAAAAUCCCAAUAGCCUAAACAAACACCCCCAAGGUAGCCCAAAGCUCUCUGUUCACAAGAGCCCACCCCUGUAUCCUUUUUCCUUUUCUCACUUCAUCAUGAAGUUGUCAAAAGGGCUGUCUACAUGUCUGGCCUCUAGAGCUCCCCCCUCAUCCAUUCACUCCCCCCCCACUGUUGUUUCUAACCCCCAAGCUCCACUGAAAGGUCUUCUUCCAAAGCCCAAAGCCACAGUCUCUUUCCAGUCCUUCUCCAACAGGACCCUGUUCAUCACGGCCAUCGUCAGGUGGAUCCUGGCAGGAAACUCUUCCUGAUUUGCAGCCUCGUUGACUGUUCUUUCUGUUUCCCUCACUGGAUCUCCUUCAUCUUUAAGGAUGGAGUCCCCAGAUCCCUCCCGAAUCUUCUCACUCUCUGCUCUUUCCACUCCUUAUGCUUCUGUUCCCAAUCGUGUGCCGAUGAACUAACACAAAUCUCUCUCGAAUCCAAAUUGAUCCAGUUUUUAAUCAGUGUAUCCCAGUAUCAUUGGAUGAAACACAGGCACGUCAAAGGUGCCACGUGUCCUUUCUGACUGCCGCCAAGCAUGUUCCUCCUUUCGCAAACCUUUUAAAGCCUCCCAUUGGUUCCAGUGAGAAGGCACCGAGUCAUCAUCCAGCUGGGCAAUGAAUGUGUACUGAGUGCCUACUGCAUGCUGGGAACUCUGUUGGUCACUUGGGACACAACGCUGACUGAGACCUUUCUUUCUUCCUCCAUCCUUACAUCCAAUCAGCCACCAAGUCCCAUCACAUUCCUUAAAUUCCCUUAAAUCUGUCUCCCCCACCAUGUUUCCAAAGCCUUGGUCAAUGACCCCGUUUUUUGAACUUAGGUAACUGUUUCAGAUUCCUCACUAGUCUGACUCCCUCCAGUAUUCCUAAUAUCUCUACUGCUGCCAGAGGAAUCUUUAAAAAUUCAGACCUUCCUGCUACUGCUCCAGUUCAGGAGAAAGGGUGGACCUCAUCCUUCUCAAGGCUGAUCCUGGUGCUGUUAGCCCCCAUACCUCCCAUCUACUCUGAGACUUUGUUUCAUCCAGCAGGACAGCACAGCUACUUAAGUUCAUGGGCAAAGACUGGGUUUAAAUCCCAGUGCUGCCACUUACAGGUUUUGUGCUAUGACUAAGCUUCCUAACCUUGAACCUUGCUGUGAUUUAGUUUCUUCUUCCAUCAAAUGGAUCUUUUAAAACCUAAUUAAUUGUGCUGUGAAGAGAAUGAGACAGAGUCAUUUCUACAGAAGGCUUUAGCUCAGCGCUUGGCACAUGAUGGGCAUUCAACAAGAGACAACUACGACUGUUAUUACCAACAGCCUAGCCCUUCUACCCUAAAAAGUCUAUUUCAGGAUAAAACCAAAGCCUCUUUACCAAGCCUGUGGGUUCACUAUGAUCUGGAUCUUGCUGACUUCCCCAGCCUCACUUUGGCAUAGGCAUGUUGAGUGAUUUUCAAUUCUAUUUUAAACCUCAGUGCCUUUGCAUGUGUGUCCACUCUGAGAUAUUCACUUCUAAGCCUACUCAUCCUUAAGACUUGGUUCAAACGUCACCUCCUCUGGGAAACAUUCCCUGACCUGGCAGUUAGCAGCUCCUUUCUAGAUUUUCUCAUCAUACUCUAGACACACCUCCGCAAGCACUUAUGCAAACUCCAGCUCUAUAUUUACACGCAUGUCUUCUCUCCUGUGUGUAUGUUCCUCAAGGGCAGAGAUCACACCAAUGGUCGAAGAACAAAUAAAUGCUCAUCUU